rnacentral:rRNA from 1 species
CACGUAGGAGGCGAGCGUUGUCCGGAAUCAUUGGGCGUAAAGAGCGCGCAGGCGGCUUGGCAAGUCGGGUGUGAAAUCCCGGGGCUCAACCCCGUGACUGCAUCCGAUACUGUCAGGCUAGAGGUAGGUAGGGGAGAUCGGAAUUCCUGGUGUAGCGGUGAAAUGCGCAGAUAUCAGGAGGAACACCGGUGGCGAAGGCGGAUCUCUGGGCCUUACCUGACGCUCAGGCGCGAAAGCGUGGGGAGCAAACAGG